GAGCUGGCUUCAGCAGCACCUGUAUCAGAACUGGAAUGAUACACAGAGGAUGAGCAUGGCCCCCACACAAAGAUGACACGCAAAUCCGUGAAGUGGUUGUAGUUUUC
ensembl:snRNA U6 U6 spliceosomal RNA